GAGAGUUAUGAGGCUUUGGCUGGAAGAGUCAAUGGAAACUGCUUCCUGCUGAAGAUACUCUGCCCUUGGGAGUCCCAUCUCCACUUCAGUUCUGAAGAACAAGCUCUCCAUUGACAGGACUGACUCCUCCAAUACAUCUGAAAAGAGGUGAUCCCAUUCAGGAAAAAGGCAAUUUACUCUUCCCAUCACCAAAUGAGAAGAAAAGACCAAAUUAUGUUUCUCAAAAGCUGCGUUCAGCCUGUGCCCUGGGUUGGCCAUCCAUGUGCUGGCUAUCCUUUGAAGAAGGACACAAGUGUCCAUCUGGAAAUUCAGAGACCAGAACUGUGCCCUCCCUGCUGCUGAAGCUGGACAAAAGUGCCAGAACAUGCUAGAGAAUCCUGGUGGAAAGAGUGACCAGAGAAGAAGGUUGAGUGGCACACAGUCAUGCUGGUGGAUAAUAAACCUGAUUUGAACAUUU